UCCCAGCGCUUCGCGUACCAGGAAGGGGACGGCGUCCUGAAAGGGACAUUUGAAAAACGGAGGCAACGCGUCUAUUAAUUAGGUGGCGGCGCCUGGGGUCGCAGCACUCCAGAGGCUGAGAGUCUCGCCCUUUUGCCUAGUGGAGGAGCUCGGCUCACUGCAAGCUCCGCGCCACAACCCCCCUGCCGCCCCAGGUUCAAGAGAUUCUCCUGCCUCAGUCUCCCGAGUAGACUGGGAUUACAGAAUGCUGGGGUGGAAGAGUUCCCAGUUUUAAAGGAGAAGUACAAGAAGACCUGUAAUUGUUAGCAAGAUAUACAGAACACAGUGCACACAGCAGCGCACUUCUCAAGUCAGGUCCUCCAAGAUGCUCGGCAUGGGCUGAGGCGCCUCCUCCUCCUCCUUACUGCCCAGUUCAUCGCCUGUGAGGGGUGGCCAGAGGGGUCCUCGGACAACUCAACAAGGGAGAUGGUCAGAACGAUCAAGCGACCUCUCCAAGGCGGGGACUGAAGCGUCAGGUCUCACCUGCUCCAACAUCUCCUGCAUCCUCUGCCACACGCGGCAUGCUCUCCAUGGAGAUACUCAGCGUACUCGUCUCUCCAUUUGUAGAUACUGCAGCCACUCCAUCACCUGCGAGAAUUGACACAGAAGUUAGGAAGGGCUGUCACUGGUCCUCACAUACUCCUGGCCACCUGGGGUCAUCUUCCUUCCACGUCCCUCCCUCUGCAAAGCCUCACGUGCCCCAGGUAUGCUUCCAGCUGUGCCCGCUCCUCCAUGGCCUGCUGUAACUGCUGGUUAGCAUCCAGGGCUUUGCAGCAUCUAGACAACUGGAUGGUGAAACAGGAGACAUUUCUAUCUGGGGAGCCCGGACUGUUCCACACAGCGCCUUUAAAAGGGCUAGGGCUAGGCUCAAUGUACAACUCAGUCAAUAAGGUCUCUGUCAAGUUGCUUUGCUUUAGAUACAAAAAAUUGAAUAAUUUUAAAGAGAUCUCAGGCUGGGCAUGGUGGCUCAUGCCUGUAAUCCCAAAAUUUUGGGAGGCUGAGGCGGGUGGAUUCCUUGAGCUCAGGAGUUCCAGACCAGCCUGGGCAACAUGGCGAAGCCCCGUCUCUACAAAUACAAAAAUUAGCCAGGUGCAGUGGCACGCACCUGUAGUCCCAGCUACUUGAGAGCCUGAGGCAGGAGAAUAGCUUGAGCCUGGGAGGUGGAGGUUGCAGUGAGCUGAGAUAGCACCACCGCACUCCAGCCUGGGUCACAGAGCGAGACCUCACCUCAAAAAAAGAAAAAAAAAAGAUCACAACUCUAUUACCAGGAAAUAGUGAAAGUGUUGGCUUGAACCUCAGAAGGAAAUAAACAGACUCAUGAGCUAGCCAUAUAAAUGUAAUCUAUAAAAUAAUGGUUUUCAUCCAUGAUGCUUUAUGAAAAAAAAUUUUAAGCCCUAACCUUCAGAUUCUGAUUCCCCAGGUCCAUGGCAGGGCCUCAAUUUGUAGAUUUUUAGCAGUCUCUAGAGGAUUCUAUGGCAGGAGAAGAACAAGGACUCAAAUUUUUCGGCUCUUGGCUGGAGCCUCCCCAUACCCGGCAUGAUCCCUAGGCCAUGGCCCCAGCUGGAUGGGGCUCUCACCACCCCAGGGCUGCAGUAAUCCCUCCAGGUGUUCAAGAACCUCUGGCAUACGCCAGGUAGAAAAAUGUGUUUCCUUCUGUAGGUCCAAAGCCAGGGAUACCAUAUGUUCUGUAUUGAUAUGAAACAAUGACUUGCAAUUAAAACAUAUAAAUAUCCUUCCUACUCCUACCCUCCAUCCAAUGUGUUUUAUUUUUAUGAGUUAAAUAAGAAAACGAGUGGCAAUCGGAGAUUUUGUCUAAAAAGUAUAUCUACAGGUAUCAGUUCUCAUCCAGCCUGAUCUCAUCCAAUAUCAUAUAUAUUCUCUUACAUGUAAAGUUUCAGAAAAGUAUCUUCACAAUGUAAGACUCAGGCACACUAGGAGUUCUAUAAUAAAACACCAAGUAGAUCAGAAUGUCCAACCUUACUAGAGAAGAAAAGUGGAAUCAUUGGCUAUAUUUUCAAAUUGCAUUCAACAGGAAAUUUAAGUUUUGAGUUUUUUCCACCUUGAACCUGGGAAGCGGAGGUUGUGGUGAGCUGAGAUGGCGCCAUUGCACUCCAGCCUGG
ensembl:lncRNA VPS33B-DT VPS33B divergent transcript